AGACUGUAGACUCGGACACGUGGGGCAGGUCGGCAUCGCGAGCGCGUCGACUGGUAGCGUUUGAAGUUAAAAAGGAGGAAAAUAGGACGGUUUUGUGGAACAACUGCUGCAGUCCAGGUGACACGUGACCCUCAAGGCUCAUGAACACUCCAUAGCUGCUCCCAGGGGCCACUGCACUCCUGCCCUGUUCCCUCCAACCACCUGAACGGGAUCUUGGACAGCGCUGGUUUUCCACGGCUGCGUUUGGGGGGUGUAGCACUACAAUCAAAUAAAACAGGUUCAGGUACACUAACAGUUGUGCCAAGAGGAUUCGGAACAAGGAGGGGACAAGUGGGUGUCGCGAUCAACCCACAGCAGCCUAGCUGCUCAA